rnacentral:lncRNA from 1 species
AAAAGCAUGCAAGAUGACUUCCUGCCCAGGCUCUUUUGCAGGUUCUGAGAAAGCACACAGGACAGCUGUGCCCAGGUCCCGGAUGAAGCCAGCCAGAGGUGUGAGGGCGGAAGCCUCGGUCACAGCGCGUUGUACUUAGGGAGUGAUGAAGCCCGCCAGAGGUGUGAGGGCGGAAGCCUCGGUCACAGCCCCUGUCCUGGUCACAGCGCGUUGCACUUAGGGAGUGAUGAAGCCGGCCAGAGGUGUGAGGGCGGAAGCCUUGGUCACAGCCCCUGUCCUGGCCACAGCGCGCUGUACUUAGGGGUGACUGAAAACAGCUGCCUCGCAAGCCAGCCAAGCGCGAGCCUCCCUUCUUCCUUCUUCUAUCCUUCCACAGCAAGCAGCUCAGCAGAGGGCCAACAUGUACUCUAAAAACUCCCUUGGCUUGUUCAAAG